rnacentral:rRNA from 1 species
UACGGAGGGUGCGAGCGUUGUCCGGAUUUACUGGGCGUAAAGGGCGCGUAGGCGGUCGAUUAAGUUACUUGUGAAAUCUCUGAGCUUAACUCAGAGCGGCCAAGUAAUACGAUUUGACUAGAGUGCAGAAGGGGCAACUGGAAUUCUUGGUGUAGCGGUGAAAUGCGUAGAUAUCAAGAGGAACACCUGAGGCGAAGGCGGGUUGCUGGGCUGACACUGACGCUGAGGCGCGAAAGCUAGGGGAGCAAACAGG